GAGAGUUUGCUAAGCCACAUGGUU
rnacentral:rasiRNA from 1 species